UGGCCCAUGGGAAUCGCACCCAUGACCUUCAAAGUAUUAGUAAAGACGCUCUUAACCAAUUGAGCUGCUAAUGGGCC